CUUCAGCGACCCCAGCCACAGCGGCUGCCCGGGGUCCCGGCCCCGUCCGUAGGUCGCCAGCAGCGCCUGGGCCUC
rnacentral:antisense_RNA from 1 species